rnacentral:miRNA from 2 species
AGCGCCAUUUUCAGAGCUAUA